rnacentral:lncRNA from 1 species
GACAUCAAAGUCCAUUUGCUGGGGCCAACGCAGCAGGGCAUCAGGAAGAAGAUAGAAUGAGAAGGGAAAAUGAAGGGGAGAGAGAGAGAAAAACAGCAAGUAACGAAGAGAGUGUAAAGCAGCCACACACAGAGAGUUAGGGGGAAGCAGAGCCUCUGAGGGAACACCGUGUGCAGUUCUGGUCACCGGUGUUCACUAAAGACUAAUUCACUCUGGAACAGCUUUGAUUGCUUAUCUGAAGUCUCCACAGUGGCUGUGAUCAUCAGGACAAGGGCAUUCACCUGCUUCCAGCUCUGCUUGGAGACAGGAACUGUUGUCAUUCCACAUCUGGCAAGAACCCAGCAUUGCAUCCACAUCACCACAACUGCUGGAAAGAAUCCGUGAAAUGUAACCAGUGAUUGACCUCCAAAGCACCGAUACCAGGAGACCCAUUGAAGAGCUGGUGACGGAAUCUGCAGAGAGAGAGUGACACCCAUCCACUUCCGAGGGGCGGGGGAGAAUGACCUGACCCCUGCUCCCCUGAGGGUAAUGAUCUUCCUUCAUACCCCUUGAUGUGCCCCAUUUGCCUAUCAGUGGCCUGAACUACAUCACUGAGACC